CCUGGGGAGUACGGUCGCAAGAUUAAAACUCAAAGGAAUUGACGGGGACCCGCACAAGCGGUGGAUGAUGUGGAUUAAUUCGAUGCAACGCGAAAAACCUUACCUACCCUUGACAUGUCUGGAAUGCCGAAGAGAUUUGGCAGUGCUCGCAAGAGAACCGGAACACAGGUGCUGCAUGGCUGUCGUCAGCUCGUGUCGUGAGAUGUUGGGUUAAGUCCCGCAACGAGCGCAACCCUUGUCAUUAGUUGCUACGAAAGGGCACUCUAAUGAGACUGCCGGUGACAAACCGGAGGAAGGUGGGGAUGACGUCAAGUCCUCAUGGCCCUUAUGGGUAGGGCUUCACACGUCAUACAAUGGUCGGGACAGAGGGUCGCCAACCCGCGAGGGGGAGCCAAUCCCAGAAACCCGAUCGUAGUCCGGAUCGCAGUCUGCAACUCGACUGCGUGAAGUCGGAAUCGCUAGUAAUCGCGGAUCAGCAUGUCGCGGUGAAUACGUUCCCGGGUCUUGUACACACCGCCCGUCACACCAUGGGAGUGGGUUUUACCAGAAGUAGUUAGCCUAACCGCAAGGGGGGCGAUUACCACGGUAGGAUUCAUGACUGGGGUGAAGUCGUAACAAGGUAACCAA
rnacentral:rRNA from 1 species